CCUACGGGAGGCAGCAGUAGGGAAUAUUGCUCAAUGGGGGAAACCCUGAAGCAGCAACGCCGCGUGGAGGAUGAAGGUUUUCGGAUUGUAACUCCUUUUGUUAGAGAAGAUAAUGACGUUAUCUAACGAAUAAGCACCGGCUAACUCCGUGCCAGCAGCGGCGGUAAUACGGAGGGUGCAAGCGUUACUCGGAAUCACUGGGCGUAAAGAGCGCGUAGGCGGGAUAGCAAGUCAGAUGUGAAAUCCUAUGGGUUAACCAUAGAACUGCAUUUGAAAAUGUUAUUCUAGAGUAUGGGAGAGGUAGGUGGAAUGCUUGGUGUAGCGGUGAAAUGCGUAGAGAUCAAGAAGAAUACUCAUUGCGAAGGCGGCCUACUAGAACAUAACUGACGCUGAGGCGCGAAAGCGUGGGGAGCAAACAGGAUUAGAUACCCUUGUAGUC
rnacentral:rRNA from 1 species